GGUGAUGGAUGCAACCAGGACUCCUUCCCACUCCCCUCGCACUUAAAACCGGCGGGGAGCGGCCCCGUGCCUGCGCCUGAUCCUGCCGCACCGGGAUCCACCUGGGAAUGGGAUCCUGCUGCCACCCUGGACACCUUGGGCAUCCUGACCUCGUCCUACCCAACAGGGAACAGUGGGAGAGCCUGGCACCACACGAGCUCUGUCCCUAGGCCUGUGUGGAGGGAGCUGCCUUUGUGCUGUGGGACACUGAACUGCUGCCUCUUCCCCAUCCUGCUGGAGCACAGCCACCACACUGGAGAGGAGAGGAGAGGGGAGGUGAGAGGUGAGACAGCGCUUGGCAUCAAUGGGGCAAAUGGGGAGGCAUCAAUGGGGCAAAUGGGGAGCUGCCUGCUGGAUUUUCAGUCUAAUUUACUGUGCACUCAGGAGAAAAAAUACAGAAGAACCAUAACGUGUUGCAGAUUGGAAGGUCUCAAAGCUGAUAAUGAGCUGUUAAUAAGCGUUAUCCUGGAUUUUCCGCUGGAAGUAGGCGGGUAAUAGACAUUUUGUGCAGGAUGAGGCUGCAGCCACAUCCUGGUGGAGAUGAGGGGCUGAAUCAUGUCCUGAUGUCUCAGGGUCAGGGGGUGGGAACUUGGUGAGGAGCUGCAGGAACAUCUUUCUCUGGGGCCAGUUGUGGGUUUCCCAUGGGAUGCCCCACACCUGUGUGCUCCCUGUCCCCUCUUGCCCACAUGUGUCAGGGGGCUGUGACCCUCCUGCUGUGACUGACACCAUGUGUUUGCCCAGCAGAGAAACAUCGCUGACUGGAGAUCCUGGGGCUGCCCA
ensembl:lncRNA